rnacentral:rRNA from 1 species
UACAGAGGUCUCAAGCGUUGUUCGGAUUCAUUGGGCGUAAAGGGUGCGUAGGUGGCGCUGUAAGUCGGGUGUGAAAUUUCGGGGCUUAACUCCGAAACUGCAUUCGAUACUGCCGUGCUUGAGGACUGGAGAGGAGACUGGAAUUUACGGUGUAGCGGUGAAAUGCGUAGAUAUCGUAAGGAAGACCAGUGGCGAAGGCGGGUCUCUGGACAGUUCCUGACGCUGAGGCACGAAGGUCAGGGGAGCAAACGGG